rnacentral:rRNA from 1 species
UACGGGGGGAGCAAGCGUUGUUCGGAUUUACUGGGCGUAAGGGCGCGUAGGCGGUCAGCACAAGUCAGUUGUGAAAUCUCCGGGCUUAACUCGGAAAGGUCAGCCGAUACUGCGGGGCUAGAGUGCAGAAGGGGCAACUGGAAUUCUCGGUGUAGCGGAUGAAAUGCGUAGAUAUCGAGAGGAACACCUGCGGCGAAGGCGGGUUGCUGGGCCGAUAACUGACGCUGAGAAGCGAAAGCAUGGGGAGCGAACAGG